UCUCCGUUGGUGAACCAGCGGAGGGAUCAUUAUCGAGUAUUACACUCCCUUACCCAUCGUGAACAUACCUUUUGUUGCUUCGGCGGUCCGUCCGGGACCGGCCCUCCGGGGCCGGAGCCAGGCGCCGCCGGAGGCCCCAAACCUCUGAAUUACAAGUUGUAUCUCUGAGUGGCGAAAGCAAAAACGAAUCAAAACUUUCAACAACGGAUCUCUUGGUUCUG
rnacentral:misc_RNA from 1 species